GCUUGGGAACUUGCCUUGAGGUGGGGGAUAACAGUUGGAAACGACUGCUAAUACCGCAUGAUGUCUACGGACCAAAGAGGGCUUCGGCUCUCGCCUUUAGAGAGGCCCAAGUGAGAUUAGCUAGUUGGUGGGGUAAAGGCUCACCAAGGCAACGAUCUCUAGCUGUUCUGAGAGGAAGAUCAGCCACACUGGGACUGAGACACGGCCCAGACUCCUACGGGAGGCAGCAGUGGGGAAUAUUGCACAAUGGGGGAAACCCUGAUGCAGCCAUGCCGCGUGUGUGAAGAAGGCCUUAGGGUUGUAAAGCACUUUCAGUUGUGAGGAAAGUUUGGUGGUUAAUACCCAUCAGAUGUGACGUUAGCAACAUAAGAAGCACCGGCUAACUCCGUGCCAGCAGCCGCGGUAAUACGGAGGGUGCGAGCGUUAAUCGGAAUUACUGGGCGUAAAGCGCACGCAGGCGGUUUGAUAAGCGAGAUGUGAAAGCCCUGGGCUCAACCUGGGAACUG
rnacentral:rRNA from 1 species